CUACGGGAGGCAGCAGUGAGGAAUAUUGGUCAAUGGGCGCGAGCCUGAACCAGCCAUCCCGCGUGCAGGAUGACGGCCCUAUGGGUUGUAAACUGCUUUUCUAUGCCAAGAAACCUGAUUACGUGUAAUCAGUUGCCGGUAGCAUAGGAAUAAGCAUCGGCUAACUCCGUGCCAGCAGCCGCGGUAAUACGGAGGAUGCAAGCGUUAUCCGGAUUCAUUGGGUUUAAAGGGUGCGCAGGUGGGCUUGUAAGUCAGUGGUGAAAUGCUGCCGCUUAACUGUAGAACUGCCAUUGAUACUGCGAGUCUUGAGUAUGGUUGAGGUAGGCUGAAUGUGUUGUGUAGCGGUGAAGUGCAUAGAUAUGACACAGAACGCCAAUUGCGAAGGCAGCUUACUAAGCCAUUACUGACGCUGAGGCACGAAAGCGUGGGGAGCGAACAGGAUUAGAUACCCCGGUAGUC
rnacentral:rRNA from 1 species